rnacentral:rRNA from 1 species
CUAAGCUACUUGGUGGAUGGCUCGGCUCAGGCGCCGACGAAGGACGUGGCAAGCUGCGAUAAGCCCCGGGUAGGUGCAUGCAACCGUCGAUCCGGGGAUCUCCGAAUGGGACUUCCUGUUACGGGUUAAAAACCCGUAACGCUCGGGAUCCGAGUGGGAACCCUCCGAACGGAAACAUCUUAGUAGGGGGAGGAAAAGAAACCAAUAGGGAUCUCCUGAGUAGGGGCGACCGAAAGGGAGGGAGCCUAAACCGAAUCCAGAGACUUAAGUCUCUGGAAAUGUGGGGUUAUGGGCAUCGACGUUUCUUCUUCCUCUCAAUGAAGUCGAAGUAGGCUGGAAGGCCUCGCCGUAGAGGGUGACAGCCCCGUAGACGUAAAUUGAGAGGAAGAUGUCGAUGCCCGGAGUACCAUGGCUUGGUAUUGCCGUGGGAAGUUGGGAGGCAUCGACUUCCAAGGCUAAAUACGUCCUGAGACCGAUAGCGAACAAGUACCGUGAGGGAAAGCUGAAAAGUACCCCGAGAGGGGGGUGAAAAGAGCCUGAAACCAAGUAGCGACAGGAGGCACAGCUCGAAAGGGUAGAUCCUUUCCGAAGGAAACUCGGGUGACCGAGGAGUACGAGGAAAGGGGACCGGGGUUGUGCCUUGCGUCUAGAAACACGAGCCAGGGAGUUCAUAGCCGUGGCGAGCUUAAGAACUAUUAGUUCGAAGGCGGAGGGAAACCGAGGACCCGCAGUCAAUACCUCUACCAUAUAGAUCUAGAUAAUCCGGAUUUGUGAAGGAUUAUUCAGAUCUAUAUGGCAAGUAUUGAUGAGGGGUCGGGUCUGAAAGGGCCUAAGUCACGGCUAUGAGACCAGAAACCGGACGAUCUAGGCCGGAACAGGGUGAAGCCGAGUGAAAGCUCGGUGGAGGCCCGAAGGGGUUCUGACGUGCAACUCGUUCCCAUGAUUCUGGCCUAGGGGUAAAAGGCCAAUCAAGUCCGGUGAUAGCUGGUUCCCCCCAAAGCUGGUCUUAGCCAGGCCCGCCCGGAGGUGGCUAAUGGGGUAGAGCACUGAUCGAAGGAUAGGGGGUCGAAAGACCCCGGCCUUCUUUCAAACUCCGAAUCCAUUAGCACCGUAGAUGGGCGGAGACGGGUUCUAGCGGAUAAGCCGCUAGGCCGAGAGGGGAACAACCCAGACCGAGGUUAAGGCCCCUAAGUGCCAGCUAAGUGUCAAUCUGAAAGGGCAUCCUCGGCCUUAGACAGCGAGGCCGUAGGCUUAGAAGCAGCCAUCGGCUAAGAAGUGCGUAACAGCUUACUCGCCGAGGCCGAGGGUCCCGAAGAUUGCCGGGACUAAGCUGGCUGCCGAGACCUCGGAGGUCCUCCCGCUGGGAGGAAUCUGGUAGGGGGGCGUUCAGGUGGACUAGAAGCCGGGUCGUGAGAUCCGGUGGAUCCGCCUGAAUCGAAUAUCCUGGCGGUAGUAACAGCACGGAGAAGUGAGAAUCUUCUCCACCGAAGGGGCCAGGGUUCCUCGGCAAUGCGUCUUCAGCCGAGGGUUAGCCGGUCCUAAGGUGGGGCGUAACUCGUACCCACCGAAAGGGAAACAGGUUAAUAUUCCUGUGCCGUGGAGGUACGAUCGCGGUAACGCAGGCCCUAUUCCUGACGCUUCAGGGUAGGGUGAGUGGAGUUGUCACUCCAUCUAACCACUGAAAACCGGGGAGUGCCGUAAUGGCGAGAACCGGUUGAAGGUGGGAAUGGCCUGCCGUUUUUAGGCGGGUUCACCCGAGCCCUGGAGCCCGUGAAAAGGGAAUAGGGAAGGAGCCUCCACGUCCGUACCGAGAACCGACACAGGUGCCCCUAGGUGAGAAGCCUCAGGUGUCUCAGGGUAACCCAGGCUAGGGAACUCGGCAAAUUGGCCCCGUAACUUCGGGAGAAGGGGUGCCUGAUUAUCAACCCUAUAGGGUUGAUAAUCAGGUCGCAGUGACAAGGAGGACCCGACUGUUUAAUAAAAACACAGGUCCCCGCUAGCCCGUAAGGGUGUGUACGGGGGCUGAGUCCUGGCCACUAGCGGUCCGUGAACCCCGGGUUCAACCGGGAGAAGCGCCGCUGAAGGCCGGGAGUAACUCUGACUCUCUUAAGGUAGCCAAAUGCCUUGCCGGGUAAGUUCCGGCGUGCAUGAAUGGAUUAACGAGGUCCUCACUGUCCCAGCCUGGGACCUGGUGAACCCGCAACCUGGUGCACAGUCCAGGGACCCCCGGUGGGGCGAGAAGACCCCGUGGAGCUUUACUGCAGCCUGCCGUUGAGAUAGGGUCGUGGAUGCAUAGUGUAGGCGGGAGCAAUGAAUUAGAUUCUCUGGGAUCUAAGGAUGCGACCAUGAAACACCGCCCAUCCACGGCAAUAUCUCUAACUCGCUCUUGCGGGGACAGCGGCAGGUGGGCAGUUUGGCUGGGGCGGCACACCUCUGAAAAGAUAUCAGAGGUGCCCAAAGCUCGGCUCAGAUGGGUCAGAAACCCAUCGUAGAGGGCAAGGCUAAAUGCCGGGCUGACUGCACCCUUAAAAGCAUGGGGUGCAGGGGGGAAACCCGGGCCUAGCGAACGCUCAUGUCCCUCUCGGUGAGGGCUGGGCAUGACAGAAAAGUUACCCCGGGAAUAACCGGCUCGUCGCGGGCGAGAGUUCACAUCGACCCCGCGGUUUGGUACCCAGACGUCGUCUCUUCCCAUCCUGGCGGUGCAGCAGCUGCCAAGGGUGGGGCUGCUCGCCCAUUAAAGGGGAACGUGAGAUGGGUUUAGAUCGUCGUGAGACAGAUCGGUCUCUACCUGCCGGGGGCGUUGGCCGCCUGAGGGUAUGGUCCGCUCAGUACGAGAGGAACGGCGGGCCGCGGCCUCUAGUGUACCGGUUGUCUGACAAGGCAAAGCCGGGCAGCCACGCCGCAAGGGAUAAGGGCUGAAGGCAUCUAAGCCCGAAGCCUGGCCCGAGACGAGGCGGCCAU